CCAAAGGCUCUUUUAAGAGCCACCACAUUGGCACACGAAAGAGCUGU
rfam:Tinamus guttatus contig66638, whole genome shotgun sequence.